UGAGAUCACGGCAUUGCACUCUGGUCUAGGCAACAAGAAUGAAACUCUAACUCAAAAAAAUAAAUAAAUUUUUAACACUAGCUUUGGUGGGAACUAAUAAAGCAAGAACUCCCUUACCCAUGCUCCCCACAGGAAGGCAUUAAUCUAUUUAUGAGGGCUGUACUUACCGUAACCCAGACACCCCUCUAGGCACUAUCUUCAAACACCAUCACACUGGGGAUUAAAUUUCAGUGUGGGAUUUGGAGAGGACAAAUAUCCAAACCAUAGCAGUCUUAUAGUCUUUAAAUUAGAAUCAUAUGUGGAGUUUCAAAAAGGUAUUCCUAGGCCUCUCUCAGGUUAGAUUUAUGAACACGGAUCAACAACUUGAAUUUUUAAAACAGCAAAGUCUCAUACUAGCUCUACAGAUGAUUCUGAUGCACAAUCUGGGUUAAGAACCACUGUCCUGUAGUCGCGAAGUCGAUAUAUUUUGGUAUUUUCUUUACCUCUUCUCUAAUUAACCAGUCUGAAGGAGUUUGAAUUUUGGGGGUCAUACAUUGUCUAUAAGAGAAACACAUUAACAUGCAUGCACAGAGUCCUUUGUAAUAAUUUGGGAUGAUUGACUAGGUGGCUCCAGGUAGGAGAGUCAGGCUUCAUGCAAGUUAUUCAGUCAUUGCAGUUUUGGAGGACUGACUCUUAACCCCAAUAAGAAAUCACUUGUGCUAUUAUAAAUUUAUAAAGCUAUUGAAAAGAGGUGCCUCCAGUAAAAAAUACAUAUGCCAUAUAUGCACAAAAGCAAUAUCAAUCCCUCAUUUAUUUUUGGAGUUAGACCAAAAAUUAAAAGCAAAUUAUUUAAGAUAAAAUUACCAUUAAGGAGUAUAAUACUUUUCAAGGAACCUUCAUGUCAGCCUUGAUCCCAGACCAAUAGAAUGAAAUAACAGGAAUGUUCAUUUCUUUGCAAAGAGAAAUCCAAAAAUUUGUCCUGUGUGAGAUUUUGCUUUUCCCAUCUUUAUGAAGUAUAUCAGCAGAUACAUAAGAACCUGCAAGAAGCUGCUCAGUUAAGGCUUUUUUUUUUUUUUUUUUUAAAGAGCAAUUGUUAGCAAUGUGGUGCUGAAGUCAAUGAAGGCUUAACUUUGAAGUGUCAGGAAUGAUACUCCCCCUCCCCUUCAUGUUAUUUUUAAGAAUAAGUUUUGUACAUUUCUCCAGGUAUUAAAGUGGAUGUCCACCUUUGCCAGAACCUAAAGGCAGAACCUAAUGGUAAAAUGAAGACAACCUGGUUGGUUCUAACAAUACUCAAAUAUUUUCAUCUAGAGUAAAUAUUUACUGUUGGCUUUGUAUUCCGGGAAUUAGCCCAAGACUAUGCUGCUCAAAUGGGUGCAAAUAGACUCUCAGGUUGCAAUAGCAUAACUAGGGAUAUUUGAAGCAAUAAUUGUUCCAUCUUGGAUUAUCGGUUUUGCUCUUGGAUUUGGUAAAGUUUUUGUUUUUCUACUCAUGCCAGUUGUAUCAAAAUGUUACUAGGUUAAAACAAAUACAAAUAUGUUUAUUCAUUACUGUGUCCCUGUAAUAAUGCCUGGCAUGUAGUAGGCACCUAAUAUUUGUUGAAAGAACGAAUUCUAGAAUAGAGUGCAAAAUUCUAGUGUAUUUCAAGGUAAAGCAUGAGAGUUCAAAGAAAUGUUCUAUUUGCCAUCUACAACUUUGAAUAAUGCUGCUAGAUUCUGCUUUACUUCAUGCACUUUUGCCAGCAGAGGUGGAUGCCUUAGGGGAAAAAAUUGGAUAAAUGCUGAUCUAAGGCAGCAUAUCUACAUGGUUAUGUGAAUAUUUCCCAGUUGGGGUAAAACUAAGAGGAGUGAUCAAUAGCAUCUUAUCAAUUUAAAGGAUGAUUUCACCAAUUGUACUGUCAUACUCCAGAGAUAUAUGUGCCAAGAAGCAGAGAUGCACUCUAGGAUUCCAGAAGAAAGAUGAUUUAGGACAUAAGCAUCAGGCAGCAAAAGUUGGAGGCAUUGUAUAAUUGUGUCAAAAUGAGAGUCACACACAUCAAGAACUGUAGGGACUAAUUCUAGAAAAAGACUCCAGAAGAGAUGACACAUGAAAUGUGAGUUUAUGUAAACAUGUAAAUUUGAGUGGAAUUGGUUUGUUUUCUGUUUAGGAACUGUAUCAGGAUAGCAGAGAUGAAAGAAUGCCGCCUGAAAUGUAUAUUGUUAAAUUUUCAGGCUUCCAUUGGUGAAGUUUCAAGUAACCGUUUGCUUAAGUGACUUGUGUCAGAAGGUGGAUGACAGGGUCAUUUAAAUCGUUGGACAAGGUCAUGAAAGGACUUUUAAAAUUUUAUUGUAAAAAUAGCCAAUGAUGUUUUUAAUUUCACAUCUAAAACUAAUUUGCAUUAUCCUGUGUUAGUGCAUGAAUCUCAACUCAGUUCUCAUUUUUUAGUUCAACUUUUAACAUCUUUAUUUUCAUUGACACCAUGGACAGCACAGUAAAAAAAAUACACACAUUUGCUUUGCAGUUAUUGAUUUGGAAUGAUAACUUUAAAAGAGCCAUCAAAUA